UGAGAAAGCGUAUAUAGCGGUGAUAGG
rnacentral:piRNA from 1 species